CGUCACCUACACAGCCACACAGGUACAAUGUACAGGUGCAAUGUACAACAGAGUGACAUCAUCACCUACACAGCCACACAGGUACAAUAUACAUGACAACAGAGUGACAUCAUCACCUACACAGCCACACAGGUACAAUAUACAGUACCAGUCAAAAGUUUGGACACAUCUCUACAUUGUAGAAUAAUAGUGAAGACAUCAAAACAUAUAUGGAAGCAUGUAGUAACCAAAAAAGUGUUAAACAAAUCAAAAUAUAUUUUAUAUUUGCCUUGAUGACAGCGUUGCACACUCUUGGCAUUCUCUCAACCAGCUUCACCUGGAAUGGUUUUCCAACAGUCUUGAAGGAGUUCCCACAUAUGCUGAGCACUUGUUGGCUGCUUUUCCUUCACUCUGCAGUCCAACUCAUCCCAAACCAUUUCAAUUGGGUUGAGGUCAGGUGAUUGUGGAGGCCAGAUCAUCUGAUGCAGCACCAUUACUCUCCUUCUUGAUCAAAUAGCCCUUACACAGCCUGGAGGUGUGUUGGGUCAUUGUCCUGUUGAAAAACAGAUGAUAGUCCCACUAAGCGCAAACCAUAUGGAAUGGCGUAUCGCUGCAGGAUGCUGUGGUAGCCACGAUGGUUAAUUGUGUCUUGAAUUCUAAAUUAAUCACCAGUGUCACCAGCAAAGCACACCCACACCAUCUCCAUGUUUCACGGUGGGAACCACACAUGCAGAGAUCCUCCGUUCGCCUACUCUGCGUCUCACAAAGACACAGUAGUUGGAACCAAUAAUCUGACAUUUGUGCUCAUCAGACCAAAGGACAGAUUUCCACCGGUCUAAUGUCCAUUAUGCGUGUUUCUUGACCAAGAAAGUCUCUUCUUCUUAUUGGUGUCUUUUAGUACUGAUUUCUUUGCAACAAUUCGACCAUGAAGGCCUGAUUCACGCUGUCUCCUCUGAAAGGUUGAUGUUGAGAUGUGUCUGUUACUUGAACUCUGAAGCAUUUAAUUGGGCUGCAAUUUCUGAGACUGGUAACUCUAAUCAACUUAUCCUUUGCAGCAGAGGUGACUCUGGGUCUUCCUUUCCUGUGGCGGUCCUCAGGAGAGCCAGUUUCAUCAUAGCGCUUGAUGGUUUUUGCGACUUCACUUGAAGAAAGUUAUUGAAAUUUUCCAAAUUGACUGACCAUCUCUUAAAGUAAUGAUGGACUGUCAUUUCUCUUUGCUUAUUUGAGCUGUUCUUGCCAUAAUAUGGACUUUUACAAAAUAGGGCCAUCUUCUGUAUACCACUCCUACCUUGUCACAACACAACUGAUUGGCUCAAACGCAUUAAGAAGGAAAGAAAUUCCACAAAUUAACAAGGUACACCUGUUAAUUGAAAGGAAUUCCAAGUGACUGCCUCAUGCAGCUGGUUGAGAGAAUGUCAAGUGUGUGCAAAGCUGUCAUCAAGGCAAAGGGUGGCUACUUUGAAGAAUCUCAAAUAUAUAUAUAUUUUUAUUUGUUUAACAGUAUUUUGGUUACUAUAUGUGUUAUUUCAUAGUUUUUAUGUCAUCACUAUUAGUUUGACUACUUUCUAUAUUGUAGAAUAAAGAAAAACCCUGGAAUGAG